rnacentral:lncRNA from 1 species
UGAGUUCAAAUGCUUUCCUUUCUCCAUACCUCCUACCCUCUGAACUUCCUGGAUUGAGCUGGUCCAAGGUGUUUCCGGCAAAGCUAGGAACGCGCGUCAAACCUUUCGGCCCCGUGUUAACCACAUAAAAGAGACGAUUCAUUCUAUUCCCUCGGUUAUAUUUGACUAAGACCCAGAGGAUAUCCCAAAGUGGGCAUUCGGGCUCAUCCCUCCCUUCACGGUCGCAGUCCUCUUAGCCAUAGGGUUUUCUUGCUCGCCCGUAACUCCUCUGUUGGCAUUGGUUCAUUUUCGGUAUGGCUACUGAGGAUUUGAUUCAAUACAGCGGAUGAGGAAAAUCCAGCAAGCUUAGACAAGAUAGAAAGUAAGGAAGACAGAAGGUGGGUAGCGAGGAAGAAAUCCAAUAGCCUGCUCACGAUUCAACUUCCUAUUCAAGUGAAUCCGCCUGGAGCGAGC